CGAUGCUAUAUAGCAUCAAUAAUAACCUACAAAACGUGUAGGGUUUGAGGUUUUUAUGGUGGUGAGUACAAAGAUGGCUGUCUUCUGGUAGAAGCUUACCAGGGUGAAGAGUCACUCAAGAUUCAUUUUCAUCUUAUUCUUCAGUAAUUUUUCUAUCCUUUUGUUUUACUUUUCAAACACAUUUCUUUCUUUUAGUCAAGACUUUGUUAUAGGAAUGUACAUGUACCCAUUUAGGAAGCUUGCAAUAUAAAAGUCUUUUACUUUUUACUUUUGAUUGAUUUCUGAUGUGACAGUAGUGGUUGCUACUAACAGAAAAUGUACUGCACAAAGCAAUGUACCAAGAUGUUCUUUAUUAAUUAAAUAAUGGUGAAAAUGUUAUUCAUAAUAGUUUAGUAUAUCUCAUUGCUAGAAACUGUGGAAAAGAUGUAUCCAUCAAAAUGAAGUACUUCACCAUGUCCAAAUAAAAUAAUAGUUCUGAACAAUGUUAGGAUAGUCCAAAUAUUUACAAACUAUAUCAAGAGGUAUAAAAUUAUAUGUGCAGGACAUUAAAUAAAAUCUGUUGCUACUGCCUCAUAAAUAACCUAGACAAGCACAUUAAAGUAUCUGUUUACUAUUAUGUAAAUUAAAUUAUAAAAGACUUUUAUCAUCAAGUCUUCAGUUGAAUUGUUUUCAGAAAACACAUUGUAUAAAUGCUGUUUAAGUGUAAUUUACACAUAUUUCAUUCUCCUUAAAACUAUUUUAAUUAUUUUCAUUGUGCUGUAGGUUGCUUCAUGAAAUAACUAAUAAAAUACAACUCUUAUUGGACAAACCUAGGGCUUUGAAAUAUGAUGGUGGAGUCUUUAAUCUAAAAUAAUUGUUGAGUGGUUCUUGUGUUCCACCUUCAGUCAGGUUCAAAGAAAAUAUCAUUCAUUUAUGUCUGUGUUUUAUGAUGCUGUCACACAUAUGCAUCACCAUUGGAGUUCCAUAUUCUUAUGAACGAGAAUUCGUCCAGUAUUCAGUUUGUUGGUGUUUACUGUGGACAUUUAUGUGGAAAUAUUGUAGAUUGUUUUCUCACAUCAGGACAAGGGUUUGUGUCUUACAGAGUGCAUGCACAUGUACUGUAAAUAUUAAUGUUCAGUUUUAUGAAGUUUGUCUGAGUUUUAUGCCAUGGAGAUAAUUAUUUUGAGUUUCCUGCUGUAAAAAAUAUUUAUGAUAGCAAUAAAUAUGUACAGUGAGUAUUAUUCCAAAUUAUGUUCUCAUUUCAAAUUCAUUAAAAAAAUAUUACAAAAUAAAAAAUAAAUGUUUUACCAUGUUGAAUAUCAUAUUGCUGAGGGUGAAGUAAUAUCUCCUUUCAUAGCUGUUUUCUCUGUGUUCAUAUUGCAUUAUGUAGGUUGUGGACAAGCCAAGUUUUAAUCAUUAUAUUUCUCAUUCCCAUGUUAGCCUCUGAUCAUGUGGGGCACUGAUUUUGUAUGAAUUGCUUUUUGAUGGCAGCGACUCAGACAUUCUGUCUAUUGAUCAUUAAUUAAUAUCUGUUUCAGUUAUAGUGUCAAGUUGGAAUCCAAAAUAUGAAUUUCUAUUCAAAGUUAUUUAUUCUUAUUAAUUAUUAAAGUUUGGUGACUAUGUUAGUAGCCAAUUUAUUUGUAAAGCAAUUUAUGUAUAUAAAAUUUGUAUGCAAUUUGUUUCUGCUCUAGACACGAGGAACCUACCCUUGCACUCAGUGUGAUGUGAAGAUUUCAAAUUAGUAAACGGUGUACAUUAAAGGUCUUGUACAAACAUAAA